AGUGGUGUUUGGUUUGUUACCGGUGGUUGGCUCUCUGCUUUUGCAACAACUUCCACCUGGCAUUCCUCUUCAUUUAUGCGUCAAGGUUGCAUUUCCUUGAGCGCUUAUGGUUUCCUGUGUUGCCUACCUACGUGACGGUAUUGUUUGAUUACAUCGAAGUUGUGUUUCAUCAUGUGUCAUUUGUAUGGCGUAGGAUGAACCUCAAAGCAGCUUCUAUGAUCCACCUUGUCGAUGCACAUGGAUUGACGUUGUGGCUCAUUGAGUUUUGCUUGGUUUUCUGGAUACAGAACAUGAUAUGGGUGUGGGUCUUACCAGAUCCUUGUUUUGCCCUUGUUGAACGUUGUUAUUACUCCGAGAUGACUACUUAUCCCGAAUUGGCUCGUACCACCGGGGUAGGUUGUGUUGUUCAAGAGCAAUAAUGGCGUUCUUGCUUCUCUAAAACAGACAGCCUCGCCUUGAUUGGCUCGUACCAGCGGGUGGGCUUUGUCGAAGAGGGAUGCUACCUGGUUGAUCCUGCCAGUAGUCAUAUGCUUGUCUCAA
rnacentral:misc_RNA from 1 species